rnacentral:rRNA from 1 species
AUGAACGCUGGCGGCGUGCUUAACACAUGCAAGUCGAACGGAAAGGCUCCUGCUUGCAGGGGUACUCGAGUGGCGAACGGGUGAGUAACACGUGGGUGAUCUGCCCUGCACUUCGGGAUAAGCCUGGGAAACUGGGUCUAAUACCGGAUAGGACCGCAUUUUGGAUGGUGUGGUGGAAAGUUUUUCGGUGUGGGAUGAGCUCGCGGCCUAUCAGCUUGUUGGUGGGGUAAUGGCCUACCAAGGCGUCGACGGGUAGCCGGCCUGAGAGGGUGUACGGCCACAUUGGGACUGAGAUACGGCCCAGACUCCUACGGGAGGCAGCAGUGGGGAAUAUUGCACAAUGGGCGCAAGCCUGAUGCAGCGACGCCGCGUGGGGGAUGACGGCCUUCGGGUUGUAAACUCCUUUCGCUAGGGACGAAGCGCAAGUGACGGUACCUGGAGAAGAAGCACCGGCUAACUACGUG